rnacentral:lncRNA from 10 species
CUAGCUCCUGCCUCCUCAGCAAACAAGUCAAACGUAAAUUAGGAGGAUAUGGGAAGGAAAAGAGAAAGAAGAAACAGACAAAUGUCAGGUUUCCUACAAAGGCAAAAGCGUGCAGGACCCCAUGUGAGAUGACAAGCGAUUAAAGGUGAUUUCUCAUUCCCUAAGAGAAGUAUAAAAAUAAGAAAGCCUUUGGGAGGCCGAGGCAGAUGGAUCACAAGGUCAGGAGAUCGAGACCGUCCUGGCUAACACGGUGAAAUCCCAUCUCUACUAAAAAUACAAAAAAUUAGCCGGGUGUGGUGGUGGGCGGCUGUAGUCCCAGCUACUCGUGAGCCUGAGGCAGAGAAUGGCGUGAACCCAGGAGAUGGAGCUUGCAGUGAGCUGAGAUUGGGCCACUGCACUCCAGCCUGGGCGACAGAACGAGACUCCGUCUCAAAAAAUACAUAAAUAAAUAAGAAAGCAAUAUUAAUUUACUGAUUUCCUAUCCCCUCACUUCCUGCUUAGGAUCUAAGCUUUACUGAAGAGAGAUCAUCGUAUUUUUUCAUUCAUUAGAUAUCACCCUUAUUACUUCACGUGAAGCCUCUGCCUGGUUUAUUUAUGUAUUUAUGAAUGCAAGGAUAUAUGCAUUUUAAUUAUUUUCUCUGUCAUCCCACGUCCCCACACCCAUUCCACUCUUCCACAGACAUCCAAUUCACUUUAUUUCAUUUCUGUCCUUCAAAUUAUCUUUCAUACAUUCAUUGUGGUAUAUAUAUGUCCUUUAAAAACAUGUAUUUCAUGGGGUAUGUGAUUUUUAAAAUUUACCAAGAUUGAUUCAUGCUUUAAUUUUCACUUAAUUUCUUAGUCUUUUUUCUGGUUACUACUUUUUAAAGAUCUAGCCAUGUUUCUGUAUGUACAUCUAACUCAUGAUGUCUGACACCAAAAAGAUUGGCAUUUGAAGCACAAAUGUCAUUUUCUUCAUGCAUUUCCCUGAAUGCUGGACAUGGGUGUCCCCUAACUCUGCUAUCACAGACAACACUGUUGUAAAACCCAGACCCACCUUUCUUUCUGGAACUAGGUGUGAGUUGUGCUGGCAUAUGCAUUGCAGGGUGACUUCUCUGUGAUUGGCCAGGCAUCUGUUCUGAUUGGUUGUUGCAUGGGAAACUAAUUAUUAAGUGCUUUGACCAUCAAUCUCCCUGCACUUACCUAAGGUCACCAAGACCUGCUGUUUCUGAGAGCAGAAGGAGUGUUCCUGUUUGUCCACGUCUUCUCAGUACUUAAUAACAUUAAGUUUGACUAUCUUUGUCUUUUCUGAUUGCCAGUGAAAUAUACGAAUUAGCCAAUUAGAUUUUGCCUUUUGUCAAUUUCCUACUCCUUUUUUUUUUCCUUCUUUUUCUGAUCUCUGAAUCUCUCAGGUGUUUUUGACACUUACCUCUUGUUUUAGACAUUUGCACAUAAGUUUUGAUAUUAGGGGCCUUGCUGAAAAUAUCUUCCCCCUCCCCCAAGAUCUUAACAUAUUCAUAUAUUUAUUUUCUAUUAGCUUCAUAAAUGUGUCUUUUAAAUUUGCAUUUUUAAUCUAUUUGAACUUUAUGUUUGCUUAGUUGGGAAGUAGGGAUGCUUAUUUUUUCUCUUUCCCAAUAUGAUUUACUAAGUAAUUCACCUGUCAGCCCUUUACUAAUGAUGAUAUUUCUAUCAUCUAUCAUACAAUUUCCAAAGGUCUAUUUUUAAUUUCUGUCCUUUUUUAUUUAUUAUUUUGUCAUUAUCACAAUACCUUCGUUUGUAUUAUUUAGUAUGCAUUUAUGGUAAUGGACCAAGGGAAGACCUUUGUAUGUAGUAAGUUGAAUCUGCAGUUCAUUUUCGUUUUCAUUUUAAAAUUUGUCUUAGCUAUUUGCUGAGCUCCCAAAUGCUAUUGUUUUUAUUGGAAAUUAAUUGAACUUAUAUAUUAAUUAUCAAAGAUUUGACAAAGUUUUAAUAUUUAAUCACCCUAUCCACGCACAAUGGUAUGUACAACCAUUUAGAAGGACUUCUUCAUGUCCUGUAAUAGAAUCUAAAUUUUUCUCAAUAUUUUUGCAGUCUUUGGUUAAUCCUUAGGUACUUUAUGAAUUUUGUUUCUGAAUGGCAAAUUUUUGUUUGUAAAUGGCAGCUAAUAUUCUACUACACUUUUAAUUCAAGAUUACUGAUGUAGAGGGACACUGUGAGACUUCGUCUGCUGAUCUCAUAUCUGGAAAAUUUAUCGAACUUACUUGUUCUAACAACUUGUCUUUUUCCUCAUACGCUUUCUAUGAAAAUAAUCCCAUUAUCUGCAAGUAAGGAUAUCCUAAUACCUCUUAUGUUUGUACUUGUAUCUUUGGGGGGUCAAAAUCUGCAGUAGCAUGUUGAGCAGUAACAGGCAUAGAAAACAUCCUUUUCUUGUGCAGACCAUAAUAAAAUGCAUAUAAAUAACGGAUCUUUAAGGAUUUUGUGUGCUAUAAGUUUUUAGCAAAAAUUAUUACCAAGUUAAAGUUCUUUUUAAAAAAUAUCCAUUGUUCUAAGAGUUCAUUUUUUUCCGCUUAAAAUCGUAACUAUUAAACUUCUGACCUAUUGACAUGAUGGUGCAAUGCUUCUCCUUUCCUAUAGAUUAAUGUAAAUUAAAUUGAUUGAAUUUGUAACAUUAAACCACUUCUGCAUUCCUGAGAUAAAGGUUACUCGCAGUGAUGUGUGAUUUUUAAUGCAAUGGUAUGAAAUUAGUUACUCUCUCUCUCUCUAUAUAUAUUUUUUUUAUUUUUUUAUUUUUAUUUUUUAUUUUUUUUAUUUUUUGAGAUGAAGUUUCGCUCUCGUUGCCCAGGCUGGAGUGCAGUGGCAAAAUCUUGGCUCACUUCAACCUCCGCCUCCCGGGUUCAAGCAAUUCUCCUGCCUCAGCCUCUCAAGUAGCUGGGAUUACAGGCAUGCACCAUCACACCCAGCUGAUUUUGUAUUUUUAGUAGAGACGGGGUUUCACCACGUUGUUCAAGCUGGUCUCA